AAGAUACUAUUCACAUUUAUACAUCUCCAAAAGUACCAUUUACAAUAUGUACAUCUUCAAAAGGGACAUUCCAGUCCACUACAUCACACAAUAGCGAAGACUAACACCACAAAGUAGAUCUUACGCAGAGUCCUAACCCUAACUGUGAGAAUAAAGAAAAAACAUCCUAGAAAGUCCAACUAGCAUAAUUUCAAAGGUAAAUUCUAGGGUUAUAACUCUCGUGAAGUGUGAUCCCCGCGUACGACCCCUGUUAAGAAAAUAACAAAGAAAAACGGUAAGCUUAAAGCUUAGUAAGCAAGCAGGGGCAAAAUGAUAAUUUUGCAUCAAGUCAGAUAUUUAUGCCACAAAUACAUCAAAAUCAAAGCAAAAGUAACAAAACAAUUCAAGGAUACGGAUUGGCUCCAAAGCCAAGUCAUUCGCCACGCGUGACCACCUGUCGACCCUCCGUCGACCACAAGGAAUGGUCCGUAGAACUCCGCUUUCUUCCUCCGACCACCUUACGCCCACUCUGGCCAGUAUCGACACAUACACAAAUGGCUCGAGCUUCGAAUCGUAUUCGAAUUGCAUUCACAAAAUUGGUGAUCUUAAGGAUAGUUUGGACUAACUUCGACUAAACCCUAAUUGGCUCGAAUAGUCCGUCUAGCCUUUAGAUCGGCCCACUCAUAGUCCCACAUCACACACACACAAAAGGUCAUCCCAAGCCACAUGCUUCAGGGAUCCAGUUCCAAUACAGUUCAUAUAUCAUAAUUCAUAUCUAUUGCAAAUACAAAUUAGGGUUUAGGUCGAGUGAGAUAAAGUAUACGCUCGCCUAAGCACCCUUAUAUCACACACAAUUCACAUUGGUGACAUUUAACACAUAAACGUCCCAGUUACUUACUUAGAGUACAAAAGUAGACAAAAACGGCACUUGGUCAAACUCAACCGUCAGUGGGUCCCACUGUCUCCGAGCACUUCGUUACCGUCUGUGACAGAAGGUUGAGUCAUAAAAUUGCUCAAACAGGUAUCCAAAUGCAUAUGAAUAAGGAAAACAGCAAAUGCGACCCAUGCGCGCGCGGAAAUGGAAAACGGAAACGGAAACGGCAAUUUGUCCGUUUUGGCAUCAAGAACUGUUUUGAACACAAUAUAGGUUACGAUUGUCAGAUCGAGGCGUAUGAGAUACCAUCGUGAAGCUAAGGAAAAAAGCUAUAAUUUUCAUGAAGACACCUCAAUCCAGUUCUGAACGGAAUCAGGUCAUAAAUAUGAAACAACGUGCCAGGAGUUCGCACGUUUAGAUGACAGACAGGGUCUAGUGGAAGAACCAUAACUCACAACUCACAGACCCAAAUCCAGAAAUUACAAAGGCACUGGAAAGCUAAGACAUAAGGCUAAAACUUUUAUGUUUUGGCCAAGACUUGGAUCAACUCAGAACCGAACGAAAAGUGGGUGUCAAAGUACCUAUCAGAACUGCCCAGUGUUCCAGGCAGUUCUGACACACGAUCUUGUUUUGGCUAUAACUGGAGCUACGAAACUCGGAUUUGGACGCACUUUAUACCGUUUUGAAUCUGAAACAGACCUCGACAGUUCUUAUGAAGACAUCACCAUCCAGUUUCAUUCUUAUCCAUGAGAACGGAGCAUGGUCAAAAGCUAAUCUACAAACGUGGUCAAACCAGAAUUUGAAAGCUAAGUGAGGGUUUCGGCUAUAACUCAGCCGACACACCUCCGUUUGACCUGAAAUUUUGUAGGGACAACAAGAACUGAAGAAGCUACAAUUUCUCUGAAGGGCUCAGGUUCAAAUUCUGAUCAAAAUUGGGUCAAAAUUUGUUGCAAACAGACUGCUCAAAUGGUCCAGCAAACAGGUUCCGAAAAAAAAACAGCAAACUUUGCCGAUUUACUGGUAUUUAUAGGGAAUGAAUUUGAACUGAUUUUUAUACCAGAGAUAGUUCUGUGAAGCUAGUUUCUAACGCUACAAACGUCGUCCCAAUCCGAGUUUUUUAGCCCAAGAUAUAGUCGCUCUACCAAAACUGAUUUCAGGCCACUGUUUUAUCCGAAGAAACCGAGUUUGUGGCAUAUGGUUCCAUUUUUUUUUAUUCCCAAAUUAGUCUUGAUUGCUCAAGAGCUUAUCAAUCAAACAAGUACACCUAGUAUCCAGCAUGCAUAGCAGACAUAUAUGGCCAAAAUUCAGGCAAGAAUCAUCAUAAAAGUGGCAUAGAAAUUGAACUACAAAGCUUGGAAAAUCACGAACUGCUCAUAUGCAUGUUUAUAAUAGGAUUUUUUUUUAGCAAGGAUACUUGAUUUUCUAAAUAUAUAAGACGCCUAAAUGAAUUAUAAAUGAAAUAGGUGUAUAGCUCAUGGUACCUUUUAAAAAAAAAGGCAGUAAAGUGCAAGAAAAAUUCCACCAAAUGUGCAGCAAAAAUCCAGCUCUCAAC
rnacentral:lncRNA from 1 species